GAUGAACGCUAGCUACAGGCUUAACACAUGCAAGUCGCGGGGCAGCAUUUCCUUAGCUUGCUAAGGAAGAUGGCGACCGGCGCACGGGUGAGUAACGCGUAUCCAACCUUCCCAUGUCCACGGGAUAGCCCGUCGAAAGGCGGAUUAAUACCGUAUGAGGUCACAUGCGGGCAUCUAAGUGUGACGAAAGGUUUAGCGGACAUGGAUGGGGAUGCGUCCGAUUAGCUUGUUGGCGGGGUAACGGCCCACCAAGGCGACGAUCAGUAGGGGUUCUGAGAGGAAGGUCCCCCCACAUUGGAACUGAGACACGGUCCAAACUCCUACGGGAGGCAGCAGUGAGGAAUAUUGGUCAAUGGACGCAAGUCUGAACCAGCCAAGUAGCGUGCAGGAUGACGGCCCUAUGGGUUGUAAACUGCUUUUAUGCGGGGAUAAAGUGUGGGACGUGUCCCAUAUUGUAGGUACCGCAUGAAUAAGGGCCGGCUAAUUCCGUGCCAGCAGCCG
rnacentral:rRNA from 1 species